rnacentral:sRNA from 1 species
GGGGGUGUAAGGUUUCGACGGUUAUCUUGAAAUAUGAAUAGCGAGUAGUGGAUGGUCGCUUCGGCCACUAUAAAAAAGCGAAAAAAAUAUAAACGCUGAUAAUAGAUUAGCAAUGGCUGCUUAAUUAAAAGCGCCUGUCUAAGUAAAUUUUGCUAGAGGAUUUACAUUAGGCAUCGACUUAUCUAGCUAACAAAUUUAAUCUGGGUUGUGGAUUAAAGGGUAUUAUAACAACCUGUUUGUUAUAUAGUUUUGUAAAUGUUAGAGUAUAACAAAUAAAUUUUAAACAUUUACUGCACUCGGAGAAGUUCGUAUGGAUGGAUUUUCGGACGUGAGUUCAACUCUCACCACCUCCACCA